rnacentral:rRNA from 1 species
GAUGAACGCUGGCGGCGUGCCUAAUACAUGCAAGUCGAGCGAACGGACGAGAAGCUUGCUUCUCUGAUGUUAGCGGCGGACGGGUGAGUAACACGUGGAUAACCUACCUAUAAGACUGGGAUAACUUCGGGAAACCGGAGCUAAUACCGGAUGAUAUUUUGAACCGCAUGGUUCAAAAGUGAAAGACGGUCUUGCUGUCACUUAUAGAUGGAUCCGCGCUGCAUUAGCUAGUUGGUAAGGUAACGGCUUACCAAGGCAACGAUGCAUAGCCGACCUGAGAGGGUGAUCGGACACACUGGAACUGAGACACGGUCCAGACUCCUACGGGAGGCAGCAGUAGGGAAUCUUCCGCAAUGGGCGAAAGCCUGACGGAGCAACGCCGCGUGAGUGAUGAAGGUCUUCGGAUCGUAAAACUCUGUUAUUAGGGAAGAACAUAUGUGUAAGUAACUGUGAACAUCUUGACGGUACCUAAUAAGAAAGCCACGGCUAACUAUGUG